rnacentral:rRNA from 1 species
ACUCCUACGGGAGGCAGCAGUGGGAAUAUUGCACAAUGGGGGAAAGCCCAUCGAUGCAGCCAUGCCGCGUGUGUGAAGAAGGCCUUCGGGUUGUAAAGCACUUUCAGUAGGGAGGAAGGUAGUGUAGUUAACACCUGCAUUAUUUUGACGUUACCUACAGAAGAAGCACCGGCUAACUCCGUGCCAGCAGCCGCGGUAAUACGGAGGGUGCGAGCGUUAAUCGGAAUUACUGGGCGUAAAGCGCAUGCAGGCGGCCUGUUAAGUCAGAUGUGAAAGCCCGGGGCUUAACCUCGGAAUUGCAUUUGAAACUGGCAGGCUAGAGUCUUGUAGAGGGGUG